GUGAACAACCAAGGGCGCGCGGUGGAUGCCUAGGCUCUCGGAGGCGAUGAAGGACGCGAUAAGCCGCGAUAGGCCACGGCGAGGUGCAAGUAACCCUUGACCCGUGGAUUUCCGAAUGGGGCAACCCGGCCGUCUAGAUGACGGUCAUGCAGUAAUGCAGGCGAACGCGGGGAACUGAAACAUCUCAUUACCCGCAGGAGAAGAAAACAACAGUGAUUCCCCCAGUAGUGGCGAGCGAACGGGGAAGAGCCCAAACCGUUGCCGUUUCGGCGACAGCGGGGUCAUGGGACCGCGACAUUCGACGAUGGACGAAGUGCAAUUACCUGGAAAGGUAAGCCGUGGAGGGUGACAGCCCCGUGCACGACACCUCCAUCUAAGAUAGCGGAAUCCCGAGUAGGGCGGGACACGAGAAAUCCUGCCUGAAUUCGCCAGGACCUCCUGGCAAGGCUAAAUACUCCCGAGAGACCGAUAGUGAACCAGUACCGCGAGGGAAAGGUGAAAAGUACCCCGAGCAGGGGGGUGAAAUAGACCCUGAACCCGCGCGCCUACAAGCGGUCGGAGCCAUGAAAUAUGGUGACGGCGUGCCUUUUGCAUAAUGAGCCUACGAGUUAGUCGUCACCAGCGAGGUUAAGGGCUUCAGGCCCGUUAGCCGAAGUGAAAGCGAGCCUUAACAGGGCGUCGAGUUGGUGGCGCUAGACGCGAAACCUUGUGAUCUACCCACGAGCAGGUUGAAGUCGCGGUAACACGUGAUGGAGGACCGAACCGGUAAACGUUGAAAAGUUUUCGGAUGACUCGCGGGUAGGGGUGAAAGGCCAAUCAAACUGGGAAAUAGCUCGUACUCUCCGAAAUGCAUUUCGGUGCAGCCUGUGAUGUUCUGUUCCAGAGGUAGAGCUACUGGUUGGACGCGAGGGCUUCACCGCCUAUCAAAUCCGGAUAAACUCCGAAUGCUGGAACACGAAAUCAUGGAGUGAGCCCGCGGGUGCUAAGGUCCGCGGACGAGAGGGAAAGAACCCGGACCACCGGCUAAGGUCCCGGAUGGACAGUUAAGUUGAUCAAACGAGGUGGGAUCGCGGAGACAGCUAGGAUGUUGGCUUGGAAGCAGCCAUUCAUUUAAAGAGUGCGUAACAGCUCACUAGUCGAGCGAUCCCGCGUGGAUAAUACACGGGCAUCAAACUGUCAACCGAAGCCGUGGGGUUAGUUAAUGACUAACCGGUAGGAGAGCAUUCCUGCCAGCUUAGAAGGUCACCCGCGAGAGUGACUGGAGCGGCAUGAAAAGCAAAUGUAGGCAUAAGUAACGAUAAUGGGGGCGAGAACCCCCCACGCCGCAAGACCAAGGAUUCCCCGGCAAUGUCAAUCAGCCGGGGGUCAGCCGGCCUCUAAGGCUCACCCGAAGGGGGAUGCCGACGAGAAACGGGUUAACAUUCCCGUGCUUCUCGUCACCGUGACGCGGUGACGGGGUGAUGAAUGGACCGCGCGCUGACGGAAUAGCGCGUUGAAGGCCGUACCCUGUGACGGUGGUAGUCAAGCACGCCACCGGAGGCGAAAGUCGAUAGUACCUCGAGGCCUCGGCCGAGGGGAUAGCGUCCAGGCAAUUUACCCCCUAGAAAACCCGCUAAACUUCAAGUGACGAGGAACCGUACUGUAAACGGACACACGUGGUCGGGUAGAACAUACCAAGGCGCUCGAGUGAUUCAUGGUCAAGGAACUAGGCAAAAUAGUCCUGUAACUUCGGGAAAAAGGACGCUCUAGUGAUAGAGCCGCAGAGUAAUGGCCCAGGCGACUGUUUACCAAAAACACAUGGCUAUGCCAAAUCGAAAGAUGACGUAUAUGGCCUGACACCUGCCCGGUGCCGGAAGGUUAAGAGGAGAGCUCAUCCGCGAGGAGAAGGUUUGAAUUGAAGCCCCGGUAAACGGCGGCCGUAACUAUAACGGUCCUAAGGUAGCGAAAUUCCUUGUCGGGUAAGUUC
rnacentral:rRNA from 1 species